rnacentral:rRNA from 1 species
GGGUGAGACCAUAUUAGCACUAAUGCACCGGAUCCCAUCUAAACUCCAAAGUUAAGCUCUCUUGGGCAGAGAUUUGAGGUUUACUUC